GUCUUAAUGGAUGUAUGUUAUGCUGGGGAGAAAAUAGUAACUUAAGUAACUACAAAGUGUGUGAACAUUCUAGGUACAAGUGAUGGAAAGGAGAAUCUUCUAACUAUAAAAUGACUAUCCCAAAUAAGAAGAUGUAUUACUUUCCUCUCACCCUAAGGUUGCAAAGAUUAUAUGCCUUUCAUGUAAUAGAAACGGAAUUGAGAUGGCAUGCAAGACACAGAAGACAGGGUCAUACGUUAGUGUUCUAACUUAUAUGCGUGGAAGCAUUUCAACAAUUCCCACCCUUCUUUCUCUAUUAAAAGUCAUAAUGUAAGACUAAGACUGUGCACUGAUGGGUUUCAACCAUUUGGCUAGUCAGGUCAAUAAUAUUCAUCUUGGCCAGUUAUUGUAACGACAUAUAAUUUGCCACCAUGGUUGUGUAUGAAGGAAGAGUACAUGUUUCUUACUAUAAUCAUUCCUAGACCUAAGAACCCAAAAGAUAAGUUAGAUGUAUACUUAUAGCCAUUGAUUGCAGAAUUGAAAACCUUGUGGGAUUUUAGAAUUGAGACAUAUGAUGCAUCAAUGAAGCAUAACUUUCUAAUGCAUGCUGCACUAAUAUGGAAUAUAAGUGAUUUUCCAGCAUAUUCA
rnacentral:misc_RNA from 1 species